GCUCUUCACUCAGAAAAUAAAAAGAUAAAGCACCAAACACCAGCCAUGAGCCCACAAGUCUAGAAUGGACAGUAAUACCUUCAGCCAGGAUUAAUGAUAUGCAAAGUGAGUAGGACGACAUCAAGUUUUACUAGAUGUUCACUACAGCGGACACAAGAUAAAUUAUUAGAGUCUGACUGCCAGGUGAUGUGACAGAGGAAGGGCAUAAUAGACUUCAAUGAAGAGCAGCCUUUGUUAAUGGCUUCAGCGACAGAGGCAUUGUCACAGAAGGCGGCAAUACGUUUCCGUUUCCAGAGCCAAUCCCAAAGGCAGCAGGCUACAGCGAUGGGGGCGAUUUUAUAGAAUGUGGAGGACUUGUCGAGAAAGAAGGAGAGGGUCAUUCACCUGCAAACCAUUUCCCCUGCAAAAGCCCCCAAAACCAGAGGAUGGGUCUGCAUCCAUGUAAAGGGGCUGCAGACCCCUUUACAUGAAUGAAUAGCAUUAUCACAGCAAAAAAAAUUAAAAUUCUGUUCCAGAAAGCC